GCGGACAUUCUUCGCAUAGCUGCUCCGGGGCUCCUGCGGUGGCCGGGAAGUGACUCUUCCUGGCAGAGGGCGGCAAGAAGCGCAGGGACCGAAACAUGAGGAGGACGGGCGGGGUGCAGAAAAGGGCUCUGCCCACCUGGGUCUCAGUGGGCACCUCACGUCCCCGUGCAGGUUGCCCCUUAUCACUACCCAGCCACCGUUUCUGGUGGUCAAGCCCUCCACUUCGUUGCCCUGACUGCCUUGCGGUGCCCCCUCCCUGACUCAUAUCCUUAUUCUGCACGCCAGGACACUUCGCGAGGGCUUAUUUUUCACCGCCAGCUCCCCAUCCGUGGCCUCCCUUCCUAUUCCAAAAGCAGGCCUUGAAUUUACCAUUUCUGGCUCAAGUCUUCAGGAGGCCAGCCCAAAGCGCACCAGCAGGGAAAAUGGGGGCCUCUUGGGUGGAUUCUUGCAGUCCUAGAGGCAGGGUAAUAGAAUUCAGAGGUAGAGGGCAGCCUCCUCCUUUCAGUUGCUCAAAUUACACGGACUUGCCCUCCUCCCUGUAAUCUCUUUAUGGAGCAUUUUGGAGUCAGGAGCACCUCUCCUGGUAACCAGGACCAGGUUCCCCAUUAGGGGGAGAGUUUUACCCUGAAAAGACUGAGUCACAGACCAGCAGUGUAACAGGGAUGGAAGGAAAGGGGACAA
rnacentral:lncRNA from 1 species